UACGAAGGGGGCUAGCGUUGCUCGGAAUCACUGGGCGUAAAGCGCACGUAGGCGGACUCUUAAGUCGGUGGUGAAAUCCUGGAGCUCAACUCCAGAACUGCCUUCGAUACUGGGAGUCUCGAGUUCGGGAGAGGUGAGUGGAACUGCGAGUGUAGAGGUGAAAUUCGUAGAUAUUCGCAAGAACACCAGUGGCGAAGGCGGCUCACUGGUCCAUUACUGACGCUGAGGUGCGAAAGCGUGGGGAGCAAACAGGG
rnacentral:rRNA from 1 species